CUUCAUGUCCUUGCAUUGCAUUUCCACUGAGGCAGUCCUGGAGGAGAGGUCUCGUACUUCUCUUUUGAUCUGGUCCGCCGUGGAUUGCCAUGUGUGGAUCAGUUUUGUUGCCAUCGCAUCCAAAGCUCUCUCAAAGUGCCCUAUUGUGAGGUAAUCUGAGGUCUGGGAGGUUUCUGAAGCUGCCGGAGGGAAGGUAGCGUCCGGGUCCCCGGCGCCAUCUUGCAGUGUGGCCUGUGCGGUCUCUAGUGUCGCGGCCGUUUUUUGCCCAAAAAAACUCAGUUUUUCCGCCUUCGAAAGCGGACUUCGUAGAAUUGGAGGACGACAGAAUGUGCCUGAUGUCGGGUUGUAUUUCUGCGGCUUUAUUCGCUGUAUAUUAGGAGCCCAUGUGCCGGAGCGGGCUUCUAUGCGGCCAUCACUCUCGGC